UACAGAGGGUGCAAGCGUUAAUCGGAAUUACUGGGCGUAAAGCGUGCGUAGACGGUUACAUAAGUCGGGUGUGAAAGCCCCGGGCUCAACCUGGGAAUUGCAUUCGAGACUGCGUAGCUAGGGUGCGGAAGAGGGAAGCGGAAUUUCCGGUGUAGCGGUGAAAUGCGUAGAUAUCGGAAGGAACACCAGUGGCGAAAGCGGCUUCCUGGACCGGCACUGACGCUGAGGAGCGAAAGCCAGGGGAGCAAAGCGGG
rnacentral:rRNA from 1 species